UACGAUUUUGACAUUUCGAUUUUCGACGAUUGCAGCGCUAUGAACUACUACAGUAAGAUUAACUUCAUUGUAGAAAUAUCAAGCAUGUUCAUCACUACAAAAAGAACAAAGACAUUUCACUAUUUCGACAUCCCGGUUAGAUGCCCUUUGAUGCAUGCGGUGAUGUUGGUGUUGAAGUUUUCUUGAAGGUCUCAAACUUUUGAUAGUAAUGGAAAGACGAACGAUUGAUUGAAGGACAAUAGGUGUCGAUUGCUAUCGAAUCUGUGACACAAACAAGCAAGACAGACGAUUCAUCGAAAUAAAACAGGGUAUUCAAUGAAAAUGGAUCUGGAAGAUUUGUACCUCGUGAACUUCGUAGAAUACUAUAGGCCUCCAAUUUCACAUGGCAUCAAGUUCACCAGUUUCGACGUGGAAUUGAUGAACCGAGCUGAACAUCUGAGUUCACAAUGGAAAAAUUUGUUCAAGUAUUCGUCACCUGACGAAGAUGUACAGAAUAUUACGCGCAUUAUCAAAACAACUGGUCUUAGUGCAGAUCGAGUAAACUCGCUAGCUCAACCUUACACGAGCGGGGCCCACACACUCAAACAGGAAACUGUUGCUGAAAAACAUAAUCUAAUUUUUUUGGAAAAAAAGUAUUUCAAAUUUGGAUCAGACAACGAUAACAAAGCAAAUAAACCCACAAACAUUGCGCCAAAGUCCGAAGAAUCAAGCGAUUUGAGCAAUUUUUCAACAGUGUUUGAUGAGUCCGAAUCAUCGAGUAUUUUACAAACCAAUGAGCCAACAACAUCACUUCAUAAACCAACGAAGAAGGGACAGGAGAAAAGAAAAAAAAGACAAAAGCGAAAUCGGCCAACUGGGGUAAACGAAGAAAUAACCACAAUACCGAGUACGGAUGUUCCAGCCAACUCACUUGGUGGUGCACCGCCAGGAGUAAAAACCACGAACUCCCGAAAUGUGCGGUAUGAAAUCAAUCUCACGAAAAACAGCAACUAUUCUCUCCAAUUUAGACUAUAACAAUAUAUUUGUGAAAAUAUUAUAAGGAUGAUUUACAGUGAACGCUUUUGUUCAAUGAAGAAAAUAAAAAAGAAA